rnacentral:rRNA from 1 species
AUGAAGGCCGUCGCCGGGCACCAGUACCACGGCGUCCACCCACCCUCGCCGACGCCGGCGACUAAGAUCUCCAUUCCUGUCUCCGCCGGCGGGGGCGCGGAGGUGGCGCUGCUCGGGAAGGGGCGGUACAAGGCAUGGACCCUCGCCGCCAUCGCCCUCCUCGCGCUCUGGUCCAUGUUCGCCGCCUCCGUCACCCUCCGCUGGUCCUCCGGCGACCUUGCCGCUGCUCCCUGGGACUUGAGUAGUCCCCUCCUCGACGACCUCGACCCGCUCGAGAUGGAGGAAAGGGAGAAACUAGUGCGCCGGAUGUGGGACUUGUACACGCGCACUGGUGAUCAUGUAUGGCUUCCGCGGUUCUGGCAAGAAGCAUUUGAGGCUGCAUAUGAGGAGCUUGCUGGUGAUGAUACGCCUGCAAGUGACGCAGCUGUAUCGAAGAUUGCUCGCAUGGCAAUUCACAGGCCUGAGCUUGAGCAGGGACGUAAUAAUAAUUAG